UUUUUUUUUUUUUAAAAAAAAAAUCCUUUUUCCUUACUGUCAUUCAGCAGGCUGAACUAAAUGUUGGUUUUAUUGGUGGUGGUCAUCCAGCAUUUCAUAGUCACCUGUGUGCUUGAUGCGAUGACCUCUUAUCUUGCUUCUUUCUUUCUUCUUCCUUUAAUUCCCUUCUUGAUCUCCUUUCAAUUGGCUGUUAAUUGUGUGUGUGUGUGUGUGUG
rnacentral:misc_RNA from 1 species